GAGACCUCAGGUCAGGCGGGGCUACCCGCUGAGUUUAAGCAUAUCAAUAAGCGGAGGAAAAGAAACUAACAAGGAUUCC
rnacentral:rRNA from 1 species